rnacentral:tRNA from 236 species
GCGGGAAUAGCUCAGUGGUAGAGCACAACCUUGCCAAGGUUGGGGUCGCGAGUUCGAGCCUCGUUUCCCGCUCCA